UACGGGGGGGGCAAGCGUUGUCCGGAAUUAUUGGGCGUAAAGAGCUCGUAGGCGGUUUGUCGCGUCGAAUGUGAAAACCCGGGGCUCAACCCCGGGCCUGCAUUCGAUACGGGCAGACUAGAGUUCGGUAGGGGAGUCUGGAAUUCCUGGUGUAGCGGUGAAAUGCGCAGAUAUCAGGAGGAACACCGGUGGCGAGGGCGACUUCCUGGCCUGUUCUUGACGCUGAGGCGCGAAAGCUAGGGUAGCAAACGGG
rnacentral:rRNA from 1 species